UAUUAAAAAUUUUAUCCAUUUGUAUUGUUAAAAACUAGCAUGACUGAUAGAAUAACUGGAUAAUGCAAUGUGUACCUUAUUCUGAUGUAUAAGAACCAAUUUUUAAUAGUAGGAUUGGAUUAAAUUUUUAAUA
rfam:Gossypium hirsutum cultivar TM-1 chromosome 5, whole genome shotgun sequence